rnacentral:lncRNA from 1 species
AGGAUAGUGGGUGCUUAAAAAUAUUUUUUUAAAAAAUCACCUUAAUGAGGUUUGAACCCGGGACCUCCUUCCAAUGAAGCACCUUAAGAUCAAUCCAAAUGUCAAUGCACCCAACCAACUUUUUGUUAUAGUAGGUAUUUUUAUAUGUUUCAUACCUAUUUUAAUAUAUUUUCUAUAUAAUUAUACAUAUUCUGCGUCGAGUUUAGUGGGUGCCGGAGCACUCCAAAAUACAACUU